rnacentral:rRNA from 1 species
AACGAACGCUGGCGGCAGGCCUAACACAUGCAAGUCGAGCGAGAUCUUCGGGUCUAGCGGCGGACGGGUGAGUAACGCGUGGGAAUAUGCCCUUCUCUGCGGAAUAGCCUCGGGAAACUGAGCGUAAUACCGCAUACGCCCUUUGGGGGAAAGAUUUAUCGGAGAAGGAUUAGCCCGCGUUGGAUUAGGUAGUUGGUGGGGUAACGGCCUACCAAGCCGACGAUCCAUAGCUGGUUUGAGAGGAUGAUCAGCCACACUGGGACUGAGACACGGCCAAGACUCCUACGGGAGGCAGCAGUGGGGAAUCUUAGACAAUGGGGGCAACCCUGAUCUAGCCAUGCCGCGUGAGUGAUGAAGGCCUUAGGGUUGUAAAGCUCUUUCAGCUGGGAAGAUAAUGACGGUACCAGCAGAAGAAGCCCCGGCUAACUCCGUG